GCAAGAGAGAGAGGGAAAUGGAGGAUUGGGGGACAGAGAGUUGAUUGCGGGAUUGACAGAUUGAGGGAUUUUUCUGCUUUUCUGCUUUUCUACUUUUUGAAUCUUUACAAUUUUUCUUGUCAAUCGAUUCUGUCUUCUUCACUUUACCUUUCAAUUUGGUUUUGUCCUUCACAAAUCUCUGCUUCUGUCCGUCUUCAUUUCGCUCUCUUCGUCUCAAAUCAUGUGUUUUUUUUUUGCUUCACAGAAUAGUCACGAGCAAAUCAUGUUUUGGUUUAUUUAGAGAUUUUGUUUCCAGUCUCCAUUUGGUGCCUUACUCAGAUCGACUCUGCACUCAUCAUUGACGACUCCACCUUCACGAAGGACUCCACAAAUCCCAAGACCAAUAAAGGGGCUUCUCAAUCUGUUGUCUGGACUGAAGAAAAAGCGGAUAAAGCUCUCGAAAAUUUCAGAUAUGAGAAAAGACUAUGUCUACAUUGAAGUCCAAAUAAGAUGGAUCCGUGAAACUAUGAAAGCUAAUAUAUGAAUAACAUUUUUGGUAUGAAAGCCCUAAAAUUGAGACAAAAAAGGAAGGAUGGCAGACAUGAAGAGGGCUUUGGUGCGAGGAUAUGCUGUGACGGCUUUAAAUAAUGAUAGAGGUCAAAUAACCAUAUCGUUACUAUUAUUUUUUGUAAUUAUAUUUGUAUGAAUUUUUCAUUAAAAUUUUCGACAUAAUUUCACUAUAUAUUAUGAUAUCUAUUGUAUUUGUUGUAUAAGAUGUGGUUUGAGCAGUACUACUCAUAUUGUCCAAGUGCAUUUAGAAGGUUUUAGUGCACUUCAAGGGAUCUCGGGCUCACAGAAAUUUCUGAUGCACAAGGCGUAGAUCACUUGCCAUCUGCACAUACUUGGUAACUUCUACUCUAAUGUCAUUUUUUUUCUUGAAUAUGUUCUCUAUUAUCUGUUUGAGUUAUCAGUUGCCAUUUGAAACUACUUUUCAAAUAACUUUUAGCAUCCAAAUUAAGUUUAUCCAAUUGCGAGUGCGGAGCGCUUAUUAAAGAAAUUUACUAAAUCCGGUAUGAGAUGUGAAAAGAGGUACAUGGUCUUUGACUUCGUUUGUUGGUUUAAGUUGUUUACUGUGCAUUCCAUAUUAGUUCCAUUUAAAUUAUAUCAAUUACAGAUCAUAUGGGCAAAGGUUUCCUAAGUUGGUAAAUGGUUUUACCAAGUCUUCUUACUUAUAGGUAAUAAGUCAUUUAUUAUUGUUAUUGGAUUUGAUUUGAUUUGAUUCCAAUGGGUUGCACAUUUACAUUUUGGAUUGGAUUCCUUUGCUUUAUAGACAAUUUCUAAAUUUCCUUUUCUAUUUCUCUCCUAAUAAUGAGUUUUCUAGAAUUUUUAUAGGGAGAACUGCGUGUGUGCAAAAAUAUGGUGGAAGGAAUUGAUGGAUCUUAAUUUUAUUCUAAUUAUUUGUGAUUAAGCUGAUUAAGUGAUCAGACGUGUAAUACUUUGAUUUAUGCCAAUUAGGCUGAUGAUGGUGUUCUAAGAAUUGGAAAAAAUUGAUUAUUUCUCUUUUAAUUUCCUUUUUAUACAUAUUGAAAUAUUUAUUUAUAGAAAAAGUUUAUUGUUCAUUCUAUUUUAGUGAUUAGAAUCGUUUAACUUUUAGGUUUUUUCUAGAAAGAUAUAUGAUGACAAAGUGUGUCAAUAUAAUGGAAAUAAAGCGAAGAUUAUGGAGUCGAGUACCCAGAUGAAGAGAUUAAGGAAUGAGUUUUGGAUCCUAAUAAUAGCUGCUCUUUUCCUUGGAAUGGUCAAUGCUUUCGAUUUUUGGGUAGAGAAUUUUAAUGAAUUUAUAUGUUUUCCUCUGCUUUUCAGUGUUUUUAGGUGAUUAGAGCUAAACAUAGAGAAAGUUUUUGAGACUUUUAGACAUGUUGGACCUCUCAAGGUUGAUGUGGUAGGUAUUAUGGAGUUAUAUGUGCAGUGGUCAAAUUAUAUUUAUGUCUGUCGAAUUCAAUUUAUUACUGGUUAUGCUAUAACUUACUACUAUUAAUUUUUACUCAUUUUUUGAAAGAUAAACUGCGCAAAGAUUUGCUUGGCCACUUUGAUAAAUUGAAGUGAUUAGGAAUUAGGACUUGGUUAUAUCCAACAAUUCAUUGCCUAAAUACAGAAUUCAUAUAGAAAAUGCAAUCUAGAAAAUUCAUUCAUGUAUAGUGUAUAACUUGAAAUGCAAUCUAGAAGGGUAAAUCGAGUGACUUCUUCUUUGUUUUAAGUAUUGACAAAUGCUAUUGAGUAACUGUUCACAAACUAAUUAAUACAAAGUACUUUAAAAAGAGAGAACCAUGUUAUGCAAUGUGUAUAAUCAGUGUACGUAUAACACAGUAUGUGCGGGUGUGCGUGUGUGUGUGUGUGAGUAUAAUGUGUGUGAAUAUUUAAUUAGCUCGCAAAGUUUGUUUGUUCCUGUGAAUUUUAAUUGUACUAAGCAUGUCAAAUUGCUAUGGAUUUGCUUUGUUUGUGAAUUUUAGAAAUUUGGAACGUUGGAGGGAGCAAUUGGGUCGUUGGUUUUUUGAGAUAUAUUCAAUUACAGUAAUUUUGUUACUAUAUUGUUGAAUUUUUAUUACUAGAGAAUUAUGAUUUUGUUACCGUUAUUUUUGGGUUUUCUCCUAUGUGAAAUAGAGAAUUGGGCCUCAAAUUUUUAGGGCAUUCUCUAAUUUUUGUGAUAUUUGCUGUGUAUUUUGGGGCAUGCUUUAAUUUUUGUGAUGUGAAAUCCCUGUAAGCGCCUCUAAACAUUGAUCAUUUGUUUUGUUGAUUAGUCUUAACGCCAAUACCUUAUCCUAAGCUAGGCAUCACAACAUCUGUAAUUCCUUAAUUCAUUUAUGAGAGCAUAUUCGUACUGCUGUGCUAUCGUUAUUAUUUAAUACACUGCUUAAUUCGAAUUUUGAUAUAAGUUUUCAUUAGAAUUUAGAACCUUUGUUAUGAUCAAUAAUGUAUUGUUUUUUGAAACGAAAUGAUGUAUUGUUUUGGUCGAUGAUGUAUUGUUAUGAUCAUUAGAAUUUCAUAUACACCUGUGAUUUAAAUACCAUUGAAUAUUUAAUAUGCAUUUGCAAUUAUUUUGGUAAAGAAAUUGAAAAGGAAUGUAAAGGUCUAUUCCUUUUGAGCUGGGUUGCUUGCCCCUCAUUAUCAUUUUCUUAGAUUCUAACUUGCAUUAGUUAUUGGAUCACCCAAUACGUCAAAACGAUCACUUUCUAUAUCACGUGUUAGUUUAUUCACUUUGUGGAUAGCUUCUCUCUCCAAUCUAUAUGCUCAACUUGGAAUCAACAUUUUUGGUAUGCAAGAUUUCUGAUAUGCUUCAACUUCAGGUACUCAUGAUGUGGAUGCAAAGAAUAUUAAAAUGAGCAUGUUUAGCUGCCAAAAAAAAAAAACAAUGACAGGGAUUAUGAAGGGAGAGGAAGAGGAGGGAGAUGACGAGUAAGUAGUUGUUUUGGAAUAAGUUGCAGUUGUAGAACUUAGAAAUGAAUUUGGAGACCGGAUGUAUAUUUAUACUCAAGUGUAGUUUUUGCCUUUCAUUUUUUCAAUUUGUUCUGUUAAUGGUUAAGAAGACAUGAAUCACAUGUAUGUAAAUAUUGCAUAUCGUAUAUAUACGUGAAACUUUUGACA